rnacentral:sRNA from 1 species
GGGACAGGGGGGGUCUCCACCACACCCGGCGGAGCCUGUCCUCCAGGUUGCGCGAACGCGUGGCCCAGUGGUUGUCGCUCGGGGGUGAUCGCCG